CUGAGCCGGAUGCUGGGAAACUAGCACGUCCGGUUCUUAGGGGGCUAGGGGGCAGUAAUGCCCCCCGCUACCCGAC
rfam:Thermosynechococcus elongatus BP-1 DNA, complete genome.